rnacentral:rRNA from 1 species
GACGAACGCUGGCGGCGUGCUUAACACAUGCAAGUCGAACGGAAAGGCCCUGCUUUUGUGGGGUGCUCGAGUGGCGAACGGGUGAGUAACACGUGAGUAACCUGCCCUUGACUUUGGGAUAACUUCAGGAAACUGGGGCUAAUACCGGAUAGGAGCUCCUGCUGCAUGGUGGGGGUUGGAAAGUUUCGGCGGUUGGGGAUGGACUCGCGGCUUAUCAGCUUGUUGGUGGGGUAGUGGCUUACCAAGGCUUUGACGGGUAGCCGGCCUGAGAGGGUGACCGGCCACAUUGGGACUGAGAUACGGCCCAGACUCCUACGGGAGGCAGCAGUGGGGAAUAUUGCACAAUGGGCGGAAGCCUGAUGCAGCAACGCCGCGUGCGGGAUGACGGCCUUCGGGUUGUAAACCGCUUUCGCCUGUGACGAAGCGUGAGUGACGGUAAUGGGUAAAGAAGCACCGGCUAACUACGUGCCAGCAGCCGCGGUGAUACGUAGGGUGCGAGCGUUGUCCGGAUUUAUUGGGCGUAAAGGGCUCGUAGGUCGUUGAUCGCGUCGGAAGUGUAAUCUUGGGGCUUAACCCUGAGCGUGCUUUCGAUACGGGUUGACUUGAGGAAGGUAGGGGAGAAUGGAAUUCCUGGUGGAGCGGUGGAAUGCGCAGAUAUCAGGAGGAACACCAGUGGCGAAGGCGGUUCUCUGGGCCUUUCCUGACGCUGAGGAGCGAAAGCGUGGGGAGCGAACAGGCUUAGAUACCCUGGUAGUCCACGCUGUAAACGGUGGGUACUAGGUGUGGGGUCCAUUCCACGGGUUCCGUGCCGUAGCUAACGCUUUAAGUACCCCGCCUGGGGAGUACGGCCGCAAGGCUAAAACUCAAAGGAAUUGACGGGGCCCCGCACAAGCGGCGGAGCAUGCGGAUUAAUUCGAUGCAACGCGUAGAACCUUACCUGGGUUUGACAUGGAUCGGGAGUGCUCAGAGAUGGGUGUGCCUCUUUUUGGGGUCGGUUCACAGGUGGUGCAUGGCUGUCGUCAGCUCGUGUCGUGAGAUGUUGGGUUAAGUCCCGCAACGAGCGCAACCCUUGUUCACUGUUGCCAGCACGUUAUGGUGGGGACUCAGUGGAGACCGCCGGGGUCAACUCGGAGGAAGGUGGGGAUGACGUCAAGUCAUCAUGCCCCUUAUGUCCAGGGCUUCACGCAUGCUACAAUGGCUGGUACAGAGAGUGGCGAGCCUGUAAGGGUGAGCGAAUCUCGGAAAGCCGGUCUCAGUUCGGAUUGGGGUCUGCAACUCGACCUCAUGAAGUCGGAGUCGCUAGUAAUCGCAGAUCAGCAACGCUGCGGUGAAUACGUUCCCGGGGCU